rnacentral:rRNA from 1 species
UGAGGAAUAUUGGUCAAUGGGCGCAAGCCUGAACCAGCCAUGCCGCGUGCAGGAUGAAGCAUCUAUGGUGUGUAAACUGCUUUUGUACGGGAAGAAACACCCCUUCGUGAAGGGGCUUGACGGUACCGUAAGAAUAAGGAUCGGCUAACUCCGUGCCAGCAGCCGCGGUAAUACGGAGGAUCCAAGCGUUAUCCGGAAUCAUUGGGUUUAAAGGGUCCGUAGGCGGUUUUGUAAGUCAGUGGUGAAAUCCGGCAGCUCAACUGUCGAACUGCCAUUGAUACUGCAGGACUUGAAUUAUUGUGAAGUAACUAGAAUAUGUAGUGUAGCGGUGAAAUGCUUAGAUAUUACAUGGAAUACCAAUUGCGAAGGCAGGUUACUAACAAUGGAUUGACGCUGAUGGACGAAAGCGUGGGGAGCGAACAGG